rnacentral:rRNA from 1 species
UACGUAGGGUGCGAGCGUUAAUCGGAAUUACUGGGCGUAAAGCGUGCGCAGGCGGCUUUGCAAGACAGAUGUGAAAUCCCCGGGCUUAACCUGGGAACUGCAUUUGUGACUGCAUGGCUAGAGUGCGGCAGAGGGGGAUGGAAUUCCGCGUGUAGCAGUGAAAUGCGUAGAUAUGCGGGGGAACACCGAUGGCGAAGGCAAUCCCCUGGGCCUGCACUGACGCUCAUGCACGAAAGCGUGGGGAGCAAACAGG